rnacentral:rRNA from 1 species
GUGGGGAAUAUUGGACAAUGGGGGGAACCCUGAUCCAGCCAUGCCGCGUGUGUGAAGAAGGCCUUUUGGUUGUAAAGCACUUUAAGCGAGGAGGAGGCUACCGAGAUUAAUACUCUUGGAUAGUGGACGUUACUCGCAGAAUAAGCACCGGCUAACUCUGUGCCAGCAGCCGCGGUAAUACAGAGGGUGCAAGCGUUAAUCGGAUUUACUGGGCGUAAAGCGCGCGUAGGUGGCCAAUUAAGUCAAAUGUGAAAUCCCCGAGCUUAACUUGGGAAUUGGAUUCGAUACUGGUUGGCUAGAGUAUGGGAGAGGAUGGUAGAAUUCCAGGUGUAGCGGUGAAAUGCGUAGAGAUCUGGAGGAAUACCGAUGGCGAAGGCAGCCAUCUGGCCUAAUACUGACACUGAGGUGCGAAAGCAUGGGGAGCAAACAGGAUUAGAAACCCGUGUAGUCC